AGAGUUUGAUCCUGGCUCAGAACGAACGCUGGCGGCAGGCCUAACACAUGCAAGUCGAGCGCUCUAGCAAUAGAGAGCGGCGCACGGGUGCGUAACACGUGGGAAUAUGCCCUUCACUACGGAACAACAUCGGGAAACUGAUGCUAAUACCGUAUAAUGACUCCGGUCCAAAGAUUUAUCGGUGAGGGAUUAGCCCGCGUCUGAUUAGCUAGUUGGUGAGGUAAUGGCUCACCAAGGCGACGAUCAGUAGCUGGUCUGAGAGGAUGAUCAGCCACACUGGAACUGAGACACGGUCCAGACUCCUACGGGUGGCAGCAGUGAGGAAUAUUGGACAAUGGGGGAAACCCUGAUCCAGCCAUGCCGCGUGAGUGACGAAGGCCUUCGGGUUGUAAAGCUCUUUUAGAUGUGAAGAUAAUGACGGUAGCAUCAGAAAAAGCCCCGGCUAAAUUCGUGCCAGCAGCCGCGGUAAUACGAAUGGGGCAAGCGUUGUUCGGAAUCACUGGGCUUAAAGCGUAUGCAGGCGGCCAUGCAAGUCAGAAGUGAAAUCCCUGGGCUCAACCCAGGAAUUGCUUUUGAAACUGCAUGGCUAGAAUCCCGGAGAGGUUAACAGAAUUCCGAGUGUAGAGGUGAAAUUCGCAGAUAUUCGGAGGAAUACCAGUGGCGCAAGCGGUUAACUGGACGGGCAUUGACGCUCAGAUACGAAAGCGUGGGUAGCAAACAGGAUUAGAUACCCUGGUAGUCCACGCCAUAAACGAUGUGUGCUAGUUAUCGGGGCCUACGGUCUCGGUGACGCAGCGAAAGCGGUAAGCACACCGCCUGGGGAGUACGGUCGCAAGAUUAAAACUCAAAGGAAUUGACGGGGACCCGCACAAGCGGUGGAGCAUGUUGUUCAAUUCGAAGCAACGCGAAGAACCUUACCUACACUUGACAUGUCCGGACGAUUCCCAGAGAUGGGUCUCUUCCCGCAAGGGACUGGAACACAGGUGCUGCAUGGCUGUCGUCAGCUCGUGUCGUGAGAUGUUUGGUUAAGUCCAGCAACGAGCGCAACCCCUACUGUCUGUUGCCAACGGGUAAUGCCGGGAACUCUGACGGGACUGCCGGUGACAAGCCGGAGGAAGGCGGGGAUGACGUCAAGUCAUCAUGGCCCUUACGUGUAGGGCUACAAACGUGCUACAAUGGCAGUGACAAUGGGCAGCCAGGCCGCAAGGUCGAGCUAAUCCCAAAAAGCUGUCUCAGUUCAGAUUGUCCUCUGCAACUCGAGGGCAUGAAGUUGGAAUCGCUAGUAAUCGGCCAUCAGCAUGGGCCGGUGAAUACGUUCCCGGGUCUUGUACACACCGCCCGUCAAGUCAUGGAAGUUGGUUCUACCCGAAGGCGCCGUGCUAACCGUAAGGAGGCAGGCGACCACGGUAGGGUCAAUGACUGGGACUAAGUCGGAACAAGGUAGCCGUAGGGGAACCUGCGGCUG
rnacentral:rRNA from 1 species